GUGCCAAAACAUAAUGAGUAAGGAAAACCAAUAUUGCCUUGCUAAUCGCUUGGCAGCUUGGCUUCUAGGCAGAGGAGCUUAACGCGCGAGCGUUCGCUCCUUGAAGCUCAAUUUUUGUGAGGGUACAGGUCGUCCCCAAGUUGCAUGCCCCUCGCACUGGCGGCGGCGGACCGGCGCCUACUUUGUGUCCGGGCUGCUGUUGCUGAUGUUUUGUGGGGCAUG